rnacentral:tRNA from 1 species
GGUAGCAUGGCCGAGCGGUCUAAGGCGCUGGUUUAAGGCACCAGUCAUUUCGAUGGGCGUGGGUUCGAAUCCCACCGCUGCCA